rnacentral:rRNA from 1 species
UACGUAGGGUGCAAGCGUUGUCCGGAAUUAUUGGGCGUAAAGAGCUCGUAGGCGGUCUGUCGCGUCUGCUGUGAAAACUCGGGGCUUAACCCCGGGCCUGCAGUGGGUACGGGCAGACUAGAGUGCGGUAGGGGAGACUGGAAUUCCUGGUGUAGCGGUGAAAUGCGCAGAUAUCAGGUGGAACACCGGUGGCGAAGGCGGGUCUCUGGGCCGUAACUGACGCUGAGGAGCGAAAGCAUGGGGAGCGAACAGG